rnacentral:rRNA from 1 species
CGCAUCUGUGCAUGCAGCACUAUCAAUAAGCGGAGGAAAAGAAACUAACAAGGAUUCCCCUAGUAACGGCGAGUGAAGCGGGAAGAGCUCAAAUUUGAAAGUCUUAAAGGGUUUCCCUUUACGAAUUGUAGUUUAAAGAAGUGUUUUCUGUUGAGGUUUUGGUAAAAGUUCUUUGGAAUAGGACAUCAUAGAGGGUGAGAAUCCCGUAUUUGACCUUUACUUUCAACUUUGUGAUACACUUUCAAAGAGUCGGAUUGUUUGGGAAUGCAGUCCAAAAUGGGUGGUAAAUUUCAUCUAAAGCUAAAUAUUGGCGAGAGACCGAUAGCGAACAAGUACCAGUGAGGGAAAGAUGAAAAGAACUUUGAAAAGAGAGUUAAACAGUACGUGAAAUUGUCAAAAGGGAAGCGUUUGACACCAGUGUUGUUUUUCUGAAAAUCAAUUAAAGAACUGUUUAUGCUAAGCUGUUUAGACUUUAUCAGCUAACUGUUUAGUUUUGAGCUUUUCUUUAAUGCACUUUUCAGUUAACAAGUCAACAUCAAUUUCUUUUGCUGUAAAAAAGCUUGAGGAAGGUGGCUUGAGAUUCGUCUUAAGUGUUUAUAGCCUCUUGCCUAUGCAGUCGGAGAGAUUGAGGUCUGCAGCGUAGAUCCUUCGGGGCUAAAUGCAUUUGUGCUAAGUUAUAACAUUUUAUAGACAACUUGUUGACUAUGAUUUGUCUUGUAGCUUACUCGCUUAUGUUAUUUUACCUACGCUUAGGAUGUUGAACGCGCACAGAGUCUC